rnacentral:rRNA from 1 species
UACGAAGGGGGCUAGCGUUGUUCGGAAUCACUGGGCGUAAAGCGCACGCAGGCGGAUCGUUAAGUCAGGGGUGAAAUCCCGAGGCUCAACCUCGGAGCUGCCUUUGAUACUGGCGAUCUUCGAGUCCGGGAGAGGUGAGUGGAACUCCGAGUGUAGAGGUGAAAUUCGUAGAUAUUCGGAAGAACACCAGUGGCGAAGGCGGCUCACUGGCCCGGUACUGACGCUCAGGUGCGAAAGCGUGGGGAGCAAACAGG